AUUGAACGCUGGCGGCAGGCUUAACACAUGCAAGUCGAGCGGUAACAGGGGAGCUUGCUCCUGCUGACGAGCGGCGGACGGGUGAGUAAGGUAUGGGGAUCUGCCUGAUGGAGGGGGAUAACUGCUGGAAACGGUAGCUAAUACCACAUAACAUUUACGAAUCAAAGGGUGGGACCUUCGGGCCACUCGCCAUCAGAUGAACCCAUAUGGGAUUAGCUAGUAGGUAGGGUAAAGGCCUACCUAGGCGACGAUCUCUAGCUGGUCUGAGAGGAUGACCAGCCACACUGGGACUGAGACACGGCCCAGACUCCUACGGGAGGCAGCAGUGGGGAAUAUUGGACAAUGGGGGCAACCCUGAUCCAGCCAUGCCGCGUGUGUGAAGAAGGCCUUCGGGUUGUAAAGCACUUUCAGUGAGGAGGAAGGGUGUAGGGUAAAUAGCCUUACACAUUGACGUUACUCACAGAAGCAGCACCGGCUAACUCCGUGCCAGCAGCCGCCGUAACAC
rnacentral:rRNA from 1 species